rnacentral:tRNA from 1 species
CCGCCUGUAGCUCAGUGGAUAGAGCAUCUGUUUUUAGAAGGUCGUAGGUUCGACCUCUACCUGGCGUG